UACGGAGGGUGCGAGCGUUGUCCGGAAUCAUUGGGCGUAAAGGGCGCGUAGGUGGCCCGCUCAGCGUGCGGUGAAAGCUCGGGGCUCAACCCCGAGUCGGCCGUGCGAACUGGUGGGCUGGAGCACUGUAGAGGCAGGCGGAAUUCCGGGUGUAGCGGUGGAAUGCGUAGAGAUCGGGAGGAACACCUGUGGCGAAGGCGGCCCCCUGGGCCGGCCCUGACACUGAGACGCGAAGGCGUGGGGAGCAAACAGG
rnacentral:rRNA from 1 species